rnacentral:tRNA from 1 species
UCUUCUGUGAUGGAAAUGGCAUACAUGAGGGCUUUAAAAGCCCGUGCUUGCAGCAUGCGGGUUCGAGUCCCGCCAGAAGGA